rnacentral:lncRNA from 1 species
UGAUCACUUCUUAUCAUUCGCUAUUAUGCCCUUGCCUCUACCCUUACCUGAAAUUAAACAUUUAAAAGAGUGAGUAUAAAUUUAUACUUAGUAAGAGACCCAUAGUGGUCUCACUAUGUGUCUGUUAACCUUUCGUUAGAGUCCUGUAACAUGGUACCGCAUACUAUUGCGCUCCCGAACGCAUACUAUCAAGUGGUUCCGUAGGGACACAUCUAGGCUCUCGGUGAACCCGAAGGAAUCAUCCUAUAGGAGAGUCAGACUGUAAGUGAUCCCGUCGAAUCACAUCUCAAACAAGUCACACAUGCAUACAUAGGUGGUGACCCUGAUGGACCCCCAUACGGUACAACUCUAAUAGGCAAAACUAACAGAACACUAUAGCCUAUACAUGUUUAUCAUAAGAUCAACAUCUUAGCUCAAUUACACAUAACUCAAAAGUAACAUAUUUGAUUAUAGCAUGCCUCAACAAAUAAUACUAUAUCUAAAUCAUAAUAGGUUUUCAAAGUAACUAUUUAUACGACCAUCUCAAACAACAUAAUUCAACUCAUUCCAGUGCUAACUCAUUUUAGACCCAAAACAAUAAUUAUUUGGGUGUACCAAACCAACGAGAAUUAAGCAAAAACUCACCAAGGGCUUAAAUAUGUUGCAGACGGCUAAAACUGAAGGUGGCUCGACUAACAACGCUUCAGCUCGAGUCUUGAGACUCACGGCUGGCAUACGACUCACACAGGAAUGGCUCGGUUGCGCGUGGCUCGCGUAUGGCUUACACGAAACGGCUCGGAUCCACAGAGAUGACUCACGAGGCUCGGUGAAGGAAUACGACUCGAACUAACACGACUUG